UUCAUCUUCAACGGUUUCCUUUAGAGGAGACCUUAGAAACUGAAUGUCCAACUGAUUUUGCUGAAACCCGCUCCGGUUGAAAGUCUGAAGUCUGACAAAUUCUUGCAAACUUUUAAGGCAAAGUUUUACUAUAGUUGUUACCACAGAUUCCUGUGUAAAUUCAGUUUUUGUAAAAAUCUCAACUUUUUGCUUGAACAAUUUUGCUAGGUGGGUUUCCAGAAGCUGGCUCCUGGCCCUUUGGGUAUUUGUCCGAGUCAUUCUAUCAUCUCGUAAUGGAUUGCUGCGAGAGGAUGUGGUGCUGCCAUUGCUUUCAGAACGACGAUGCUUGCGAAGACCUCCUUCAGGCAAAAGCUGCUUCACCUCAGCACCUAUUGCUUCCAACUCUUGAAGAAAUAAAUCAACAAACAUAUGAACUUCUCUUGGCUCCUUGUGCUUGACCCAGUUUGGAGCUUUAAACCUCUUCUUCAGGAGAACUGAUACUCUCUGAGUUCUCAUAGUUAUAUAAUGGUGUAGAAACUUUUCACCAGCUGACCGAAAGAUUCGACAAAUUUCACCAGGAACAAAAGCAGGCCCAUUUUCAUAGCCUCGUACACCACUGCCAGAGAAAGAAGUAGCUAUUUCCUCAGUAAUUUUUGGAACAGCAGUUUGUUCAAUAAAAACAGAAAGUUGAGCCAACACCAGGACAAGACCUGCAAGCACUUUGUCAACCACCUUUCCCUCUGUCAAACCUUGUGCUUGACUGACUGAUUUAUUUCUUCCAGAAAGUAAGAGGAAAUGAUCAUCCAGAGCCCUGAAGAAUUCCUGAAAUCCUUCUUGAAUCCAAUCAACAAUCGAGUCUCUCAACUUUAGAAGUAACCCUAAGUUGUCAUCAACAAGAUGGCGCAAGUCCACUAAGACAUCCAUGCUUCCUUUAAGCACUGCAUUUUUGCUGGUUUCCAGGGCAACCUGCAAGGGAUUCUCUUCCACUCCCUCUUUUUGUUUCAUAUGAAUGUUGACAAUGAGGGCAUCUGAGAUAUCAUGCAGAAGGUGAGAAAAUGUGAUUGCAACAUAUUGCUUGACAACCCGCUGGGCAGCCUCCAAAGAAUAAUCAGGGAGAAAUGCCUCAUUUAAUACUUCAUCCAUCAGAAGCACAUCUCUCCAUAUAACUCGGAGAAAACCCAAAAACUUUGCAACAGAAAUCUGUUCCUUUAUGUUUUGCUCAGUGAUUUCAAAGUGCUUGGUAAUCAAGUCUUGAGAGAGUUUAAUUAGUUGCUUUUCUGAGUCAGGAAAUAUUACUCGAUAAGCUUUGAUAGCCUCCGCAAACUCAUGAACAGAAGCAUCAAUUGUGCUUGUAGUUUUUGAAGUAUCAUUAGAGUCCUCCAAAAAAUUGGUUAUUUCUUCUCUCUUGAGCUGAAGAUCCUGAAGCAAUUGUUCUAACUUUUCAAAAAGUUUAGCCUUUAAGCUGUCCACCGGAAAAUCCAACUGCUUAAGCAGCACUGCAGCCUCAGCCCUUGCUUGUAUGGAUUCAG
rnacentral:misc_RNA from 1 species